GAUGAAGAACGUAGCAAAAUGCGAUAAGUAAUGUGAAUUGCAGAAUUCAGUGAAUCAUCGAAUCUUUGAACGCACAUUGCGCCCGCCAGUAUUCUGGCGGGCAUGCCUGUCCGAGCGUCAUUGCUGCCCUCAAGCACGGCUUGUGUGUUGGGCCUCCGUCCUCCUCCCGGGGGACGGGCCCGAAAGGCAGCGGCGGCACCGCGUCCGGUCCUCGAGCGUAUGGGGCUUCGUCACCCGCUCUUGUAGGCCCGGCCGGCGCUUGCCGACACAUCAAUCUUUUUUCCAGGUUGACCUCGGAUCAGGUAGGGAUACCCGCUGAACUUAAGCAUAUCAAUAAGCGGAGGA
rnacentral:misc_RNA from 1 species